UCGUUGUAUUGGUUCUCUGCAAAAAGCGUUACUGGCGGAGAAAAUGAAGAUGUCGUUUACGACAACGAUGGCACAGACACAGGUCACAUGUAGACCAGUGAUACCAAAGCAGACUCAGAUCCACCAUACUGUGUCAGUGGAUCAAGCCUCCACCACACAUGCAGUCUGUGGCCAUAUGUUCAGGACAGGAUGAUGCACCUAGUGUCCACACGGGAGAGAAGCCUUACUCCUGCUCCGACUGCAACAAAACCUUCUACAGACAGGUAGAAACUGGGUAGAAGUAGCAAAACAUGAUUUCAUCUUGUGGUGAGAGUGAUAAGCUCUUUGGAACUAGCUACUUUCAGUGCCAACCUACCCGUUCUGUAAUUUGUAUUGGUCGACAGGAAUCUAACACAAACUACUACAGGGGGGGUGGGCUCCGCCUGCCCAGGCACCUUCUUCCGUUCCAACUGAUGCAAGCAACACAUGCUCACCCACCAAGAGGACAGGCCCAAGCCAUACAUGUGCUCCCACUGCGGCAAAUUCUUCUCCAAUGCCACGGCGGUCGCCGCCCACGAGCGAGAAGCCGUUUCCGUGCCCGUACUGUGAGAAGACGUUUACGACCGCCGGUAUGAUGAAGGCGCACACCCUGUGUCACCUGACUGAGCAACCUCACCCGUGUCCCCAGUGUGACAAGAGCUUCAGAACAGUGUAAGAUCUGAAGGGCCUUGUGGUGAUACAAGGCACUUCCUGUGUGAGAAGUGUCCCAUGGGAUUCCUCUGGCCCGACCGCCUCCACUGCCGUACCCGCGUUACAGAGCCCAAGUCUGGGAAGACGCGCCACGAGUGAUCCAUGUGCCUGCGGGCGUUCACCAGGGAGUGACACCUUAAUAUUGAGCACGGCGUCGAACCGUCCACCCCCAUGGGUCAAAGUUGAACUGGUCAAACCAAACCGCGUUCGUUCAGGUGUGAACCAACUGGAUCACCACAGCUGUGACGAGGAGACGGAGACACACAGUUCCAGCAGAAGAGGAGGAUCACAAUGAAGAAGUCAGAGCAGUUUGGUGUUGAAAGAAGAACAUGUUCCGUCUUCUACUACUUCUGUCAGUGUCUAGUAGAACACACCAUAGACACCAGCUUGUGUCAGGGAGUGCUGUAGCAGGGAAUACAGGUCUAGGACCAGUUAGACUGCAGCUUGUGUCAGGGCCGGGGAGUGCUGUAGCAGCAAGAACAAGUCUCGGCACUGUUGUUAGAAUGCAGUGUGGGUCAGCAGGAAGAACAAGUCCCAGGCCUGUGUUUAUGAUUGUUGCCAACCAGGGAGUGGGACAGCCUCUGACCUUGUUCCAGGCACCUGUAGUGAGGUUCACAACUCCUGGUAGAGUCACAGCACCAUCUACAGGCCAAACAGCGAAACAACA